rnacentral:rRNA from 1 species
UACGUAGGGGGCAAGCGUUGUCCGGAUUUACUGGGCGUAAAGCGCGUGUAGGCGGCUAUGUAAGUCGGGCGUGAAAUCCCACGGCUCAACCGUGGAAGUGCACUCGAAACUGCAUAGCUAGAGUCCUGGAGAGGAAGGUGGAAUGCUUGGUGUAGAGGUGAAAUUCGUAGAUAUCAAGCGGAACACCGGUGGCGAAGGCGGCCUUCUGGACAGUGACUGACGCUGAGACGCGAAAGCGUGGGGAGCAAACAGG